UUGGAAUAUUCACAUUAUGCCAGUUGAGCAUCCCAAAUCCAAAAAUCCAAAAUCUGAAAUGCUCCAAUUAGCAUUUUCUUUGAGCAUCGUGUCGGCAUUGAAAAAGUUUCAGUUUUUGGAGCAUUUCUCAUUUCAGAUUUUGGAUGUCAACCUGUACUUUCUGUUUCUAUGAAUUACACUACUCUAGGUACUUCAUAUAAGUGGAAUCAUAUAGUAUUUGUCCUUUUCUGUCUGGCUUAUUUCACAUAUAAUGUCUUCCAGGUUCAUCAUAUUGUAGCACAUGUCAGAAUUUCAUUCCUUUUUAAGGCUGAAUAAUAUUCCAUUAUGUGUAUACCACAUUUUGUUUAUCCAUUCAUCCAUCAAUAGACAUUUGGGUAUUUCCAGGACAAUAUAUUCUUAAUUUAAUCCCACAUUUUAAGACUUACAGGUAAUUUAAAUUCAAUUCAACUUACUGAGUAUUUACUAAGGGUAACUCACUAUGGGAAGUACUGUGGGAAAUACAAGGGUAAAUAAGACAUGGUGCCUGCUCUCAAGGAAAUUAUGAUAGACUGGGAAAAGGGAAGAGAAAGAAGUAGAAGUAACCAGCAUUUGCUAAUCGCUUGCCAUGUGCCAGGUGCUUUACCCAAUCGCUGCAUGUAUAGCUCCCAAUGACUCUGUAAGUUAGAUAUUGUAAUAUCUACUUUAUAUAGGAAGAAGAAUGAAGGCACUGAGACUUUAAGUAACCACCUCCAAAGCUGGGAUUUAAACUCGUAUCUUGGAUUCAGAGGCCUGUGUUCAUUCCACUACACAUGCUGUUCCCUAUGAUUCAAGGCAGAAUGUGAUAAAUCCUUGGGGAGAAGCUACAGCAAGGUAGAAGAGGAAGAGAAGAGAUUGCUCCUUGCCUGAGGGUAAAGGUACAUGACAAAGGUAGGUCUUAGAGGUCAGGAAGGCUUACGUUUGACAGAGAUGGAGGGUGGAAAAAAUUGCACAAGCAGAGCAAAACGAUGGCAAUAAUGCAUCACAAGGAUGGAGGGGGUGAGAAUAGCUUAAGAAGGUCACUGGUAAUAGCAGUUGAGGCUUAAUUAGUCAGAAUGGAAAAGAGGAUAUGGACAUGAGAGAUAUCUUAGAGGUGAGAAUGACAGAACUCGGCAAUCACCGCAUUUCAUAAUGCAUCAAGUAGGCUGACCAUAUACUUUGCUGCUCAGGCAAGGAUUUAUUUAAGAGCGAGAAGCACCUUGCCCACGGAUUUCCCCUGUAUCACAUGAAGGAAGGCAUCAUUGACUUUUUUUUUAACUGUUGCUGCUUUAAAGUCUGUUUUGCCUGUAAGAACAGCUACUCCUGCUCUCUUUUGGUUUCUAUUUGUGUGGAACAUCUUUUUCCACCCCUUUACCUUGAAUUUACACGAAUCCUUUUGUGUUAGGUGAGUCUCUUGAAGAUAGCAAAUAUUUGGUUGGUGGUUCUUUAUUCAUUCUGCCAUUCUGUAUCUUUUAAGUAGAGCAUUUAGGCCAUUUACAUUCAAUGUUAAUAUUGAGAUGUGAGGUACUGUUCUAUUCAUCGUAUCAGUUGUUACCUAGAUACUGUUUUUUUCAUUGUGCUAUUGUUUUACAGGCCCUGUAAGACUCACGCUUUAAGGAGGUUCAACCCUGGCCUACAGAAUUGGGAUAGUUUCUAAAAGGUAAAAACUUUUGGUUAGCAGGAUGUUGUCAUAGGUGAAUUAUAUUCAUCACAUCAUUGAUCUAAGUUUAUCUAAAUCUUAGAUACCACUACAAACCUAAUGAAAUGGCUAACAUUCAAGGAAACAACUGACAAGACUAAGUUUUGGCAGAUGCAGAGCAACUGGAACUCUCACACACAGGGAAUGCAAAAUGGUACAAGCACUUUGGAAAAUAGUUUGCCAAUUUAUUAAAAGCUAAACAUGUAGUAGCAAACCAGUGCAAGCAAACUCCCAAAGUGUUGAAACAGAGAGCUCAACUUUGGGCACAUUUGUAUGCCAGAGCACCAGUUUCUAAUCCAGAAUACAGCCAAAGAAAUGGAAAACCUGUGUGAUACGGGCUUUGAUAGGAAUGUAGUAACAACAGCCUUCUCUUCAAAAUCAUAGGACAUAGAAACCGAAACAGAAUUGUUUCUGAAUAACUGAGGCAUAGAGAAACAGCUGCUGAUAUAAUCGAAGUUGCCUCUUUUUGAAGUGGCAUCAACAUCUGCUCUUUUUAGAAUUCUGCACGGAUUUAUUUUAAAGUUAUCAUUCGGUAGCAGCUACAAUUCAAUCCUUGCCUUAUAUCAUUCUUGCUUCAUGAUGUUAUCUCGUCCAGCUUGAAAACCAUUCUGACAUAUAGCUGGAUGCACCCUUGCUGGCAGUACUGAAGCACUGAAGAUAGGCUCUUGGAGAAGACGGGAAAGUUCAUAUCUUUGUAUUGACCACAGUACAGGCCCAUAGCAGAGAUAUUCUUCAGGAGCAGAAGGUUGGCUGGUUCAGAAGCAAUGUUUCCUCCAGCAAAUCCCACCACCACAAUCCUGCCCUCCCAUGCCAGGCUGCAACAUACAUUCACACCCAUUAGGAAGGCUAGUCUCGUAAAAUAACAAGUGACAAAUGGCGAGGAUGUGAAGAAGUUUAAGCACCUGUGCACUGUUGGUGGGAUUAUAAAACAGUGCAACUACUAUAGAAAACAGUAUGAAGGUUCCUCAAAAAAUGAAAAAUAGGUUCAGCAAUUCCACUUCUGAUAUAUAUAUAUAUAUACACAUAUAUAUAUAUAUAUACCAUAAGCAAAGUAUUAGGGAACCAAAGGAACUAGACAAUUUUAUAAGGGGGCCCACUUAAAAUCCAGGCUGUUGAGCCAGGUGCAGUGGCUUAAACCUAUAAUCCAAGCACCUUUGGAGGCCAAGGCAAGAGGAUCAUGUGAGCCCAGGUAAGAAGAAAUACACUUUAAUGAGGGAAGGACCAUUUGCUUUAUACAAAGACUUACUUUAGGAUUCCUUUAACACAUUGCCUCUUUAGAGAAUUUUAAAUAAACUACAAAAAUGCAUAAGUAUUCUGUAGCCCAGUAUGAAAAUUCCCCUACGGUACCAUUGCUAAGCAAUGAGUUACAGAAACAACUUUUGCAAACAUCUUUGAUAUAAAAUAUGUGUAUAUUUGUUUGGCUUUUGCUUUUUGCUUUUCUUCUUUAGAAGGGAAAUGAGAAGCUAUUGCAAAAACACAAUUAUCCAGAAGGCAAGAAGGAAGGCAAGAGAUGGGCGAGUUUUACCAGCUGUCUAUCCUGGCUUUCCACUUGGACUACACGCUCCUUCCUUUGCUUCUCCUCUAAGCACAGCACCAGGCACAGUGCAGAGAUGAACAAACAUAUAGACUGCCUGCCACUCAGCUCAGGGGCUAGAGAACCAACUGGACCCCUUUUGUGGGUAGGCUCUGCAUCCUUCAGGCUGCCCUGACUGUAGUUCACGCUGGACUGCGCACCCCUCUGCAUCGCCAGCUUGCACUUCUCGUCACUUCCAGCAGCAGCUAUAUUACCCCAGGCUGGGUACGGGCCCAAUGCUCAAGAGCAAAAAUCGCAGUGCCAUAAGUUAUAGGGAGGACAGCAGCUUCUUAUAGGGAGACCUUUUCUGGAAUCUGCCACAGGUCCUAAAAAAGAGAUAACAGUGACUUACAGAUUGAGUGUAUGUACCUAAGUCGUAAAGGCUGCUCAGUAAAUAUUAGGAUUCAGGUGUGAAGGGAAGAUGGGGCCUUUCCUGAUAUUGAUCACGGCAGAUCAAAAUAUCACCAAAGUUAACUCCACAGAAAUGGACAUCAACUCUGACCU
rnacentral:lncRNA from 10 species